GCUUCCCUGGUGUAGUUGGUUAUCACGUGGGUCUCAUAGAAUUCAUGUCUAUGACCAGGCGAAAAUCCUGGAGAGAUCCCAAGGUCACCAGUUCGAUCCUGGUGGGGAGCA